GAAUUACCCCCAACUCUAAGCUUCUAACUUAGAAAUAAAUGAUUAAACCAUUUGUGAUUCU
rnacentral:tRNA from 1 species